rnacentral:rRNA from 1 species
UACAGAGGUCUCAAGCGUUGUUCGGAUUCAUUGGGCGUAAAGGGUGCGUAGGUGGCGCGCUAAGUCAGGUGUGAAAUUUCGGAGCUUAACUCCGAAACUGCAUUUGAUACUGGCGUGCUUGAGGACUGGAGAGGAGACUGGAAUUCAUGGUGUAGCUGUGAAAUGCGUAGAGAUCAUGAGGAAGACCAGUGGCGAAGGCGGGUCUCUGGACAGUUCCUGACACUGAGGCACGAAGGCCAGGGGAGCAAACGGG